rnacentral:rRNA from 1 species
UACAGAGGUGGCAAGCGUUGUUCGGAAUUACUGGGCGUAAAGGGCGCGUAGGCGGCCUUCUAAGUCAGACGUGAAAUCCCCCGGCUUAACCUGGGAACUGCAUCGGAAACUGAUCGGCUUGAAGAUGGGAGAGGGUAGUGGAAUUCCCGGUGUAGUGGUGAAAUGCGUAGAUAUCGGGAGGAACACCAGUGGCGAAGGCGACUACCUGGCCCAUUCUUGACGCUGAGGCGGCGAAAAGCUAGGG